rnacentral:rRNA from 1 species
GACGAACGCUGGCGGCGUGCUUAACACAUGCAAGUCGAACGGAGUGGCGAACGGGUGAGUAACACGUGGGUGAUCUGCCUUGCACUUCGGGUUAAGCUUGGGAAACUGGGUCCAAUACCGGAUAGUGCAAGAUGAGCUCGCGGCCUAUUCGCUUGUUGGUGGGGUAAUGGCCUACCAAGGCGUCGACGGGUAGCCGGCCUGAGAGGGUGUACGGCCACAUUGGGAAUGAGAUACGGCCCAGAGUCCGUCGGGAGGCAGCAGUGGGGAAUAUUGCACAGUGGGCGGAAGCCUGAUGCAGCGACGCCGAGUGUGGGAUGAAGGCCUUCGGGUUGUAAACUCCUUUCGACAGGGACGCGGUACCUGUAUAAGAAGCACCGGCUAACUACGUGCCAGCAGCCGCGGUAAUUC